AUUGAACGCUGGCGGCAGGCCUAACACAUGCAAGUCGAGCGUGCGGCGGACGGGUGAGUAAUGUAUGGGGAUCUGCGCGUUAGAGGGGGAUAACUACUGGAAACGGUAGCUAAUACCGCAUACUAUGCGAGCUGCCGAUAUGGGAUUAGCUAGUUGGUGGGGUAAAGGCUCACCAAGGCAACGAUCCGUAGCUGGUUGGAGAGAACGACCAGCCACACUGGGACUGAGACACGGCCCAGACUCCUACGGGAGGCAGCAGUGGGGAAUUUUGGACAAUGGGGGAAACCCUGAUCCAGCCAUCCCGCGUGUAUGAGAAGGCCUUCGGGUUGUAAAGUACUGUUGGCAGAGAAGCGGUAUCUGCAGAAUAAGCACCGGCUAACUACGUGCCAGCAGCCGCGGUAAUAC
rnacentral:rRNA from 1 species